rnacentral:rRNA from 1 species
GACGAACGCUGGCGGCGUGCUUAACACAUGCAAGUCGAGCGGUAAGGCCCUUUCGGGGGUACACGAGCGGCGGACGGGUGAGUAACACGUGGGUGACCUGCCCUCAGCUCUGGGAUAAGCCUGGGAAACCGGGUCUAAUACCGGAUAUGACUCCAUGACGCAUGUUGUGGGGUGGAAAGCCUUGUGCGGCUGGGGAUGGGCCCGCGGCCUAUCAGCCUGUUGGUGGGGUGAUGGCCUACCAAGGCGA